rnacentral:rRNA from 1 species
ACACGACUACAUUAGAUACCCGUGUAGUCCUAGCCGUAAACGAUACUCGCUAGGUGUCGGCCACGGUGCGACCGUUGUCGGUGCCGUAGGGAAGCCGUGAAGCGAGCCACCUGGGAAGUACGGCCGCAAGGCUGAAACUUAAGGAAUUGGCGGGGGAGCACAACAACGGGUGGAGCUUGCGGUUUAAUUGGAUUCAACGCCGGAAAUCUUACCGGGACCGACAGCAACAUGAAGGCCAUGCUGAAGACUUUGCCGGAUUAGCUG